GAAUCAGUCCGAACUGAUUGCACUAUAUUUUAUGUAUAAUCAUUUUCUAUUCUUAACUGUUUUAAACUCAUCUUAAACCUCUUAAAUCCAUUUUUAAAUAAUUUUCAAAGUUUCUAAAUUCCUUGUUUUAUUGUUGUGAUUAUUUUUUAUUAUUAUUAUUUUCUUUUCUUUUAUGUAAAGCACUUUGAAUUACCAUUGUGCAUACCAAUAAUUAAUGUGCAUCUUGUCAGUAAAGCCGGUUCUCUGACAAGCUGCGCAAAUCCAUGUUCUUUAUCAGCAUUGAUUUGCGCAGCUUGUUAGGUAACAACGGCUCUGUGUAGUAACAGCUGCUCUAUGUGAAAUCACGAACCUGAUGGAAUUUACCGCUGAUUAGAGAACCGGCUUUACUGACGAGAUGCGACAAACCGCUGUUGAGAUUUAUUUGGAGAGAUCUUCAGACAGACAAAGCACCAGACGUGUACAAAUGCCAAGUUCUACCCUUUGGAACAAUGUGUAGCCCUUGCUGUGGAACAUCCACUCUACAGAAGCUAUCCUGGAUAACAGUGAGACAGAUGACACACAGUUCUCAGUAGAGAACUCUUUCUACAAUGAUAACUGCCUUCAGAUAUUCACCUCAAGUAAAACAGUGAAAGAUUUUGUCAAUAGACUCCGCAGCCACUUAAGUUCAGAAGGCUUUGAAUAAAAACACUGGGCGUGCAAUAAUCCAUCAGUUAUCAGUCACCUGCCAGCUAAUGCUCGAUCUCAAAGUAAUAUCCAGUGGCUCAGCGAAGGCCAUCAAAAUGCACUGGAGUCAACGGGUUACAUUGGCAUUGCUCAUCAGACACUCUCUCCUAUAAGCAACGCUGGACAGGCCACCCACUUCCAACUAUGCAGAGCAUAUACUGUAUCCUCACUACUCAGUACUGUAUGGCCCUAUUGGCUAUAUUGUGCCAUUCAUAACACAAGUCAAAGUAAUUAUACAGAGGUUACAGGACAAGAAAAGAGAGUUGGAUGAUCCCUGACUGCCUGAUGAACUGUUUAACUUGAGGAAAGUUUGGGAGAGUGAGCUGGAUGAUCUACAGCAUGUGGCAUGGCCGUGGUGUUACUACAGCAAAGAACUGGAUCACCCUACUAGCACCAAGCAGAUCCACAUUUUCUGCGAUACUUCAGAGCAAUCAUAUGGUUCUGUAGCCUACUUACAAACUGAAAAACCUGAAGGUAAAGUGGCAGUAGCUGUGUUGCUGCUAGAUCUUGUGUAGCCCCGAAAAAAAGAGCAAACCAAUUCACAGCUGGAGUUAUGUGCAGUAUUGACUGGGUACCAGCUCAUGAAAGUUCUGAAUACAGAGCUGGCUUUGCCUAUCCACAGUGUCAAUCUGUGGUCUGAUUCCACAACUGUCCUUAACUGGUUGCUAUAACCCUCCUGUUGUUUCAAAGAGUUUGUAGGUACCAGAAUAGCAGAAAUUCAGGAACUCACAAAGUCUGAUAAGUGGAGGUAUGUGCCAUCAAAGGAGAAUCCCACAGAUUACAUCCCCAUGGGAAAAUUUCUCUGUGACACAGGCCAGGAAAGCAGAUGGAACAAAGAGCCCAACUUUCUCAGACAAACAACUGACCCCUGGCCAGAGAUGCCACCGUUAACAACCUUUGAUCAAGAUGGUGAACUGAGAAAGCCGAUCUUCUGUGGUCCAUCAAUUUCCUCCUCACCCAUUCCUGAUCCACAGAAUUAUGAUACACUUCCAGAGUUACUAAAGGCUUACAUCCAGCAAGUCAACAGGGUGGCCAUGGAUAUCAAAACAGCUGUCUACAGAUGACAAAAGAUGACUACAAAAAGGCAGAACUUGCAGUCAUUCAUCAAAGCCAGAGCAGCUCAUUUCCAGAGGAACAGCCACCUUAGAGCAGGUAAACCCUUGCCAAGGAAUAGCCACUUACUGUGCUAAGCUCCUGAAUUUCAUGAGGAUACCAAACUCAUAUGAUUUGGGGAACGGCUCUGUCAAAACAGCCAACUGGAGGAAGAUGCUAUACAUCCCAUGUUUGCUGAACUUCAGCGGAAAAACUGGGUGAUACGGGGUGAGCUGCAGUCAGAAACAACCAAGGACAGUGUCCAGAGUGUCAGAGAUGGCAGGGACAACCCCAUCCCCCGAGAAUGGCAGACCUGCCACCUGCCAGACUAAGGAUCAUCAACCUGUCUUCUACUCGACAGGUGUGAAUUGUUUUGGACCUUACACCAUAAAGGUGGGAUGUAGAACUGAGAAAAGAUGGGGAAUCAUCUUUAAAUGCAUGACUUUAGCAUAGUUCACAUUAACAACCUCACCAACACAGAAGCCUGCUUGUGUGAUGAGGAGGUGGUGUUCUCAGCUUCUUCUGAAGAGAGGGAAAGACGGGUUUAAGAUCCUGAAAGCCAGAGACAAGAUAACUUCAUUCUUUUGAGACUGAUAACUCAAACUAACUUUGGAGUUAAGGACACAGAAGCCUGCAUGUGUGAGGAGGAGGCGAUUUUCUUAGCUUCUUUGGAAGAGAGGGAAAGACAGUUUAAGAACUCAAACCAACUUUGGAGGUGUCUGAUUUGGAGAGUUAUCAUUCUUGGUCUUCCCUCUUAAAGGAAUAGUUCACACAAAAAAAUAAUUUACUUGCCCUCAUGUCAUUCCAAACCUAUAAGACUUUUGUCUGUCUUUACAACACAAAUGAAUAUAUUUUUAAUUUUCUCAUAAUUUUUUGUUAAUCCAUUGAGAGUCUAGAUAAUCAGUAUUUUCAAGCCUCAUAAAUACAGAGUUAUUGUAGAAGUAAUCCAUUCCGAUAUUUAUAUAUGAUUAAAUCUUAAAUUACAUGAUAGCGAACAUGUAUGUU
ensembl:lncRNA